AUUGAACGCUGGCGGCAUGCCUUACACAUGCAAGUCGAACGGCAGCACGGGAGCAAUCCUGGUGGCGAGUGGCGAACGGGUGAGUAAAGUAUCGGAACGUGCCCAGUCGUGGGGGAUAACGUAGCGAAAGUUACGCUAAUACCGCAUACGAUCUAUGGAUGAAAGCGGGGGAUCGCAAGACCUCGCGCGAUUGGAGCGGCCGAUAUCAGAUUAGGUAGUUGGUGGGGUAAAGGCUCACCAAGCCGACGAUCUGUAGCUGGUCCGAGAGGACGACCAGCCACACUGGGACUGAGACACGGCCCAGACUCCUACGGGAGGCAGCAGUGGGGAAUUUUGGACAAUGGGCGAAAGCCUGAUCCAGCCAUGCCGCGUGCAGGAUGAAGGCCUUCGGGUUGUAAACUGCUUUUGUACGGAACGAAAAGGUUUGGCCUAAUAAGCUGAGCUCAUGACGGUACCGUAAGAAUAAGCACCGGCUAACUACGUGCCAGCAGCCGCAGUAAGAC
rnacentral:rRNA from 1 species